rnacentral:rRNA from 1 species
AGCGAACGCUGGCGGCAGGCCUAACACAUGCAAGUCGAACGGAUCCUUCGGGAUUAGUGGCGGACGGGUGAGUAACACGUGGGAACGUGCCCUUUGGUCCGGAACAACUCAGGGAAACUUGAGCUAAUACCGGAUGUGCCCUUCGGGGGAAAGAUUUAUCGCCAUUGGAGCGGCCCGCGUCUGAUUAGCUAGUUGGUGAGGUAAAGGCUCACCAAGGCGACGAUCAGUAGCUGGUCUGAGAGGAUGAUCAGCCACAUUGGGACUGAAACACGGCCCAAACUCCUACGGGAGGCAGCAGUGGGGAAUCUUGCGCAAUGGGCGAAAGCCUGACGCAGCCAUGCCGCGUGAAUGAUGAAGGUCUUAGGAUUGUAAAAUUCUUUCACCGGGGACGAUAAUGACGGUACCCGGAGAAGAAGCCCCGGCUAACUUCGUGCCAGCCGCCGCAGUAA